GUCUACAGCCAUGCCAUCCUGAACAAGCCCAAUCCUGUCUGAUCUCAGAAGCUAAGCAGGAUCGGGCUUGGUUAGUACUUGAAUGGGAGACCACCUAGGAAGACCAGGUGCUGUAGA
rnacentral:rRNA from 1 species